AGAGUUUGAUCAUGGCUCACAACUAACGCUGGCGGUGUGUCUUAGUCAUGCAAGUCGAACGAGAAAGCGUUCUUCGGAACGUGAGUACAGUGGCGGACGGGUGAGUAACACGUGGGGAACCUGCCCACAAGCUGGGAACAACCCGCCUAACGGCGGGCUGAUACCGAAUGUGGUUGUCAAUCCGCAUGGUAUGACAACUAAAGGUGGCCUCUCCUUGGAAGCUGCCGCUUGUGGAUGGCCCCGCGCUCAAUUAGCUAGUUGGUAGGGUAACGGCCUACCAAGGCUACGAUUGAUAGCCGACCUGAGAGGGUGAUCGGCCACACUGGGAUUGAGAUAAGGCCCAGUCUCCUACGGGAGCCAGCAGUCUAGAAAUUUGGGCAAUGGGCGAAAGCCUGACCCAGCGACGCCGCGUGGGGGAUGAAGCUUCUCGGAGUGUAAACCCCUGUUUGGUGGGACGAAAGCCC
rnacentral:rRNA from 1 species